UCCUCUCAGUGUUCUCAUACCACUCAUUCCCACCAUCAAUGAUACAGUCACCUUUCUCCAUGUAGGCAGAGAGAGUCUUUAUAGUUUGAUCAACAGGUGCCCCAGCCUUAACAAGCAUAAUUAUCACCCUAGGCUUUUGGAUUGACUGAACAAAAGCUUCAGGAUCAUGGAAGCCAUAUAAGGGAAGAUCUCCCUCCCUUUUAGCUCUUUCAACAGUCUCAUCAACUUUGGAGGUAGUUCGAUUAUAAACAGAAAUGGGAAAGCCUUUUUCUGCAAUAUUAAGUGCCAGAUUCUGGCCCAUGACAGCCAGACCUGCAAGGCCUAUUCUUGUUGGUUGUGG
rnacentral:lncRNA from 1 species